GACACUUGUUUUCCAUAUUGGGGCUGGAGGUUUUACUACUGGUUUGCUGUGCUUAUAUCCUGCUGAGCAGUGAAUGAUUAAUGCUGUGACUAAGAGCUUCCCACAGACUUGCCAAGACACCAUCUAUGGUUUUGUCAUUUAGAAUUUGUUAAGAGUCUUGAUAUAUUUUGUUUCUGAGGGAAAGUGGGGAGAGCUCAGGUGGAGAGCCCAUGAUUAUUUCUUAAGGACCCUUAAAUGUUUCUUUGUUUGGAGGCACAGGAAAUACCCUGCAUGGAAGAAAAGAGAAGGUACCCUAAAAGACUAGGGUUUGGGAAGGAGCAAGAAAUACAUCUUUUUCUGGAGACAAAUGAUCCACCACAUAGAAGGAGUGGAAAUUUUCAAGUUGUUAUAAGGAGGAUACAACUUUGAGCCAGAGGGAAGCCUAAA